UUGAGUGUAGCUCAUAAAGUCCUGGAUGAGAGACUCCAAGGCACCUAUGCGUUUAGUCGAGUUUGUUAGAACUCGAGUUUGUUUGUUGUUAGUGGAAGCACUAUGACAAAUAUUUUUGUAUUGAGUUUGCUUGUGCUAAUUUUGCGUUUGGUUUUGAGUUAAUUCCAAUGGAGUUGAUUUUAUUUUAGUUGAGUAGAUAUUAUUAAAGUUAUUUAUAAUAAUAUCUUAUAAUGUAUUCAGACAUAUCUUGUCCUGAUUACAUUCCUUGUUUUUCUGGGAGUUUCUUGAUUGAAAAUUUUCCGCCGUGGUUAACCCCACAAGAUGUUUACGGAACUUUUGGCCAACUUGUUUUCUUUCCCUGUCUUAAAAUUUCGACCAGCUGUUGAAAUUUCGACAUUUUUUUGCUUUGAUCUUGCAGUCAAAAUCUUAGCAUUGCUUGACGCUUACCUAGUUACCGGUUGAGGGGACAACCAUAACGAAGUUUGCCUACGUUACCUUGUUGGCUACUCGCCUUUGUUGAGCUGGAGCAACUUUGAUUUUCGCGUCCAAAACUUCAACAUUGGUAUGUUCCACCUUUUUAGUUUGGCUAGAGCCAUCGGUGUAGAUAUCUGUCAUUGGUUGUUGUACUUGCGAGUCAACGAACCAUACUUUGAGUCGACUUUCGAGUUGAAUGUUUAGUUUUAUGUUAAGGAUUUAAGCAACACUGUAGGUGUUUGUUGACUUAGUCGUUUAGAAUUAGAGUAAUCCUUGUAUAUAUAGUUCCUAGUUUUUGUGUUUUAUUUGAGUUUAGUUUAUCUUAGAGAUAACCCUUUGUAUUUUGGUGUUUGAGUUUUGUUGAUUAUUAGCUUUUUCCGAUUUGGUCACUUGUGUUCAAGCACCUCCAGUACCAAAACCUAUUUUAGUAUGUCUAGGUGACUACCGACUAUGUCAGGCUACUGCUUGAUGGUCAGAAUAUGGUGCUUACUGCAGACUCCGAUUGUAAACAGUGGUAUUGCACCACAGUUUAAAUCGUGGGGGGAAGCUGUAUAACGUUUACGUUUUCCCAGUGUAGAUUUUGGUCUAGUCCCCCUCAUUUCACGCUUUUAUCUUAACUGAUUAGAUCUUAGAGUCCCUAUCGGCGUUGUUUUUCUUAGAAACACAUAUGUGCUAUCGAUAGAGUCGACCGUUAGACUUUAAUAGCUUUCUGGUGAAUGAUAUGGGCCUUGCAUCACAUAAGUCAUCUUAAGUAUUAGAUUUGCUAAGCCCUUUUACGAGUGGUAAGGAAAUCUGUUCUUGAAUAUCUCUCACAGUUUCCCAUAAUUUUGAUUGGUUAAAACCCCACCACAAACAAAGGACGCCAAAGGUUCAUAAAAACCACAAAUUCUCAAAAUUCUGCAUCAUUUGUGAGUUGAGUUAAUAUAGUCAUUAUGUGAGAUCAAGUUUGUUCGUGUAUUGUGGGCCCCGCCGAUUAGGCAGGGUCCACCUUUCACCUUCCACCUUCCACCUAUGCAUUAUGUUGUCCAGCUGCUAUUUUAUGAACACUGUUAAAUACUAUUAUUCUUUCGACUGUGUCGUAAAGUUGAAUUUCUUCAUGACCAUCUUCCACACCUUGAGAGCCUGCCGGCUUACAAAGGGCCAUCCUACCCUCUAACAGAUGUUUUAAGUAAGUCACUCAUCUUUUACUUAUUGAAGAAAUUAGUAGAGACGCCUUUGUUAUGUCCAGGGCAAGGACAAUUUUGUGUGCUUUCGUGAAAUAAGUUCAAUGACCUAAAGUUUUCGCCCAGUUUGUGAUAGUGACAUUCUGAAAAGUAGGUCAUACUUUUAGUAUGAAGUUGAUGAUUAUCUUUUUAUUUUUAAAUGGGUGAUCAUUUAAACUAUAAACAUUUACAUUAUGUAGAUAUUUUUCUGAGUAUUAUUAGAGUGUUAUUAAGUAUUGUUAGAUAGGUAUAAAUAUAAACAAAGAGCUCUUUCUUUUUUUGUUGUAAGUGAACGGUAAAAUUUCUAGUUUUUAUUUAGAGUAUGGAUUUUUUAUUUUUUCGAGUAACUACAGUUCAUUUUUUUUUGAGUUAAUAAUUAAUAGUUAUAUUCGUUCACUUACAUUCCAUUUUUUUAGUAUUACUGUGUUGGUGAAUACACCAAUUUAUAUGCAGUGAUUGUUAUUAUGUCGCCAACUUUUGUCUUAUAGAUUAACGGUUUAGGUAUUUUUUGGUUUCUUAAUUUUGUUGUUGGCGAUCUUAUACUGCGUAUACACUGUACGUAUUGUGUAAAUAUUGAGAUUUGGUAGAGUAUUUUAAUAAAUGUUACAUUGAAACUUA
rnacentral:lncRNA from 1 species